rnacentral:rRNA from 1 species
GUAUUCCAGCUCCMAUAGCGUAUAUUAAAGUUGUUGCGGUUAAAAAGCUCGUAGUUGGAGGUCAGUUCCGGACUGGGGUGGGAGGUCACCGCCCGGUGCUUCCCCGUCAGGCUCCGAACAGCUUCCGUGAGUGGAAGCCAAGCCGGUUCUGCCGGGGUGCUCUUUACCGAGUGUCCCGCGCGGCCGGCCAGUUCACCUUGAAUAAAUGAGAGUGCUCAAAGCAGGCUACUCUGGAAUACAAUGCCCGAAUGUUACCUGCAUGGAAUGAUGGAAGAUGAUCUCGGUUCCAUUUUGUUGGUGGUGGGAGCCAGAGGUAAUGAUAAAGAGGGACUGUCGGGGGCAUCCGUACUACGACGCGAGAGGUGAAAUUCAGUGACCGUCGUAGGACGAACAACAGCGAAAGCAUUUGCCAAGAAUGUCUUCGUUGAUCAAGAACGAAAGUUAGAGGAUCGAAGGCGAUCAGAUACCGCCCUAGUUCUAACCCUAAACGAUGCUGACUAGCAAUUCGCCGUCGUUAUUCCCAUGACGUGGCGAGACGCCCCCGGGAAACCUCAAGUCUUUGAGUUCCGGGGGUAGUAUGGUUGCAAAAGUGAAACUUAAAGGAAUUGACGGAAGGGCACCACCAGGAGUGGAGCCUGCGGCUUAAUUUGACUCAACACGGGAAAGCUCACCAGGCCCGGACACCAGAAGGAUUGACAGAUUAAGAGCUCUUUCUCGAUUU